GCUUAUCACCAUUCCAGAUUGAAUAUACCCGAUCUCGUCUGAUCUCGGAAGUCAAGCAAUCUCGGGCUUGGUUAGUACUUGGAUGGGCCACCGCUUGGGAAUACCAAGUGUGAUAAGCA
rfam:Ciona savignyi cont_55084, whole genome shotgun sequence.